UACAGAGGUGGCAAGCGUUGUUCGGAAUUACUGGGCGUAAAGGGCGAGUAGGCGGCCUCCUAAGUCAGACGUGAAAUCCCCCGGCUUAACCUGGGAACUGCGUCUGAUACUGGAAGGCUCGAGUUUGGGAGAGGGAUGUGGAAUUCCAGGUGUAGCGGUGAAAUGCGUAGAUAUCUGGAGGAACACCGGUGGCGAAGGCGGCAUCCUGGACCAACACUGACGCUGAGGCGCGAAAGCUAGGGGAGCAAACGGG
rnacentral:rRNA from 1 species